CGGCGCCGCCCGCCCCCGCGCCGCCGCCGCCGCCGCCCCGCUCCGCCAUCGCCGACUCGCAGCGCCGCCGAGCCCAGCCGCUGCCGCUGCCGCCCCGGCCAGGCCCCGCCGCGCCCCAUUGGCCACCCCGCACGCCCGUCAGCGCGCGCGGGGGCGGGAGCGCCCCGCGAUUGGCCGCCGCGCCCGCCGACUUUGAAUGAGGGAAGCCAGGCGCGCUGGGAUUGGCUGCGCGCGGGCGUCCCGCGCCGCUUGCGGCGCUGGUCACGUGAGUCAUGACCCGGGGAGAGGACCGGAACUGACCUCACGUCAGGCGGAACAGGCCGUUGGGGGGGGGGGGAAGGGAUGGGAGCUACAGCCAAUCAGCGGCCGGAACCCCGUGCACCAAUCACGUCCCGCAGAUGGCUGCGCGCUCCCAACCAGAACAACCAAAUCAGAGGCGUCCCUCCCCGUGACGUCACCGGGGGCGGGAUUCGAGCAGCAGCCAAUGGCGGGGCACAAGGGUGGGGCAACCGCCCGGGAAACAAAGUCACCGGGCAGCAGCCAAUGAGCGGGCACGGAGGGGAGCGGGGGAGUCGCCGGCCAAUGGGGAGCUGCGCGGGGCCUGCCCCUGCGCCCCGCGGCCGCUGGGGGGCGCUGUCUGCCGGGCGGGCCAGCCGCCCCGCCCCCGGCCAUGGCCCCGCCCGCCGCCGCCCCGCGGCGCGCCCCUGGCGCCGCCGUCCCCCCGUUAGCCCCCGCGCGGUGCCCGGUCGCUGGAGCUGCCCCGCGGUCCCCGGCUCUUAGGGACGGGACUGCUGGCGAAAGUCCCAGCGUUGGCGCGGCCGACGGCGCUCGCAGUAAAAAGCCCCGCGGCGCGCCCGGCGUGCCGGCGGUCCCUGCCGGGGCAGGCGCCGGGGGCUGCGGGGGCCGCUAGACCGUGCCCCGGCCCCAGAGCCCACUGCGGGGCCCCGGCGCAGGGGUGCUGGCCUGGGGGAAGCGCAGGCUUGGCCCGGCUGCCGCACCGCGGCAGAGCCACCCGGGGCCCCCCGAGGUCCCCCGUGGUCCUACGAGGUGCCCCGUGCUGCCAUGGGGUACCCCAGGGUCCUCUGGGGUGUUUCGUUGUCCCCGGUGGUCCCCCGAGGUGCCCCAUCGUCCCCUGAGGUGUUCUGGGGUGCCCCGAGUUGUCCUGUGCUGCCCCAGGGUGCCCCGUGGUCCCCCGAGGUGCCCUGGGGUCCGCCGAGGUGCCCGUGCACUUGGACAGGAGGGAGUCCAUGGCACACUGUUACUGCAGGGCUGGGGAGAUGCAAGUGGGGUCCCGGGGAGCCCCACUGCGGUGGCGGAGCACGGCGGGAGGCAGCCGCGGUGGGGCCAGGCCCGCAGCCCUGGCUGGGAGGCAGCACCAGCCUGUGCCCCUGCGCCGGUGCCCUCGGACGGCCCCGGGAGCCCAGGCAGGUACCGAGCUGGGGACUCGUUACGGCCGACGAACGUGCACGAGGCAUCGUGCAGCCAGCAAAGGAGACACGCUUUGCGUUCAGACGCCCAGUCCCGUUUACUUCACGGCCCAUGCAACUGAAACACUCGGCACAUGGGAGAACAGUUACGCCUUUGAAGCACUUGCUGGCCCUGACUCACCAGGUGAGGGCUGAGAAAACUCUAAAUUUAGGUGUAAAGCCUGCAAUAACUGUCUGCAGAAACUGGGAGCUCAGCUGCGGCGCCGACGUUACAUCUGAGACAUAAUGAGAUAUAAAAUAUUCUGUCGAAAAGCCUCCUCCAGCUGAACUACACGUUUCAAAAGAAAAACACCCAGAACAACAGGGAAGCAGAUCUUCCCGCUGUGCAAGGCUGCGUUUGGUGUGCUGGGGGACACCACCACCCCUCCCGCUGUGGGGAGGGCGCCGGGAGCCUCGCUAAGCCAUCGGAUCUUUCUAUCUCAAACUGCUUUGAUUUUAUGAUCCCACCUUUCCCAUUCCUCUCUUUCUGUCAAAAAAAGACCUGUCUUUUCUUAAAUAAUAAAAAUAAUUGGAGUUACUAAGGGA